rfam:Hordeum vulgare subsp. vulgare, WGS project CAJW01000000 data, contig: morex_contig_280488
AUCAUACUCCCUUCGUUCGGAUUUACUUGUCGCAUAAUUUAUAAAAAUGAAUGUAUCUAGAACUAAAAUACAUCUAGAUGCAUCCAUUUAUAUGACAAGUAUUUUCGGACGGAGGGAGUAUCUC